rnacentral:rRNA from 1 species
CCUACGGGAGGCAGCAGUGAGGAAUAUUGGUCAAUGGACGAGAGUCUGAACCAGCAAAGUAGCGUGAAGGAUGACUGCCCUAUGGGUUGUAAACUUCUUUUAUAUGGGAAUAAAAUGUUCCACGUGUGGGAUUUUGUAUGUACCAUAUGAAUAAGGAUAGGCUAACUCCGUGCCAGCAGCCGCGGUAAUACGGAGGAUCCGAGCGUUAGCCGGAUUUAUUGGGUUUAAAGGGAGCGUAGGUGGAUUGUUAAGUCAGUUGUGAAAGUUUGCGGCUCAACCGUAAAAUUGCAGUUGAAACUGGCAGUCUUGAGUACAGUAGAGGUGGGCGGAAUUCGUGGUGUAGCGGUGAAAUGCUUAGAUAUCACGAAGAACUCCGAUUGCGAAGGCAGUUCACUGGACUGCAACUGACACUGAGGCUCGAAAGUGUGGGUAUCAAACAGGAUUAGAUACCCGAGUAGUC